AACACGUGGGCAAUCUGCCCUUCACUCUGGGACAAGCCCUGGAAACGGGGUCUAAUACCGGAUACCACUCCUGCCUGCAUGGGCGGGGGUUGAAAGCUCCGGCGGUGAAGGAUGAGCCCGCGGCCUAUCAGCUUGUUGGUGGGGUAAUGGCCCACCAAGGCGACGACGGGUAGCCGGCCUGAGAGGGCGACCGGCCACACUGGGACUGAGACACGGCCCAGACUCCUACGGGAGGCAGCAGUGGGGAAUAUUGCACAAUGGGCGAAAGCCUGAUGCAGCGACGCCGCGUGAGGGAUGACGGCCUUCGGGUUGUAAACCUCUUUCAGCAGGGAAGAAGCGAAAGUGACGGUACCUGCAGAAGAAGCGCCGGCUAACUACGUGCCAGCAGCCGCGGUAAUACGUAGGGCGCAAGCGUUGUCCGGAAUUAUUGGGCGUAAAGAGCUCGUAGGCGGCUUGUCACGUCGGAUGUGAAAGCCCGAGGCUUAACCUCGGGUCUGCAUUCGAUACGGGCUAGCUAGAGUGUGGUAGGGGAGAUCGGAAUUCCUGGUGUAGCGGUGAAAUGCGCAGAUAUCAGGAGGAACACCGGUGGCGAAGGCGGAUCUCUGGGCCAUUACUGACGCUGAGGAGCGAAAGCGUGGGGAGCGAACAGGAUUAGAUACCCUGGUAGUCCACGCCGUAAACGUUGGGAACUAGGUGUUGG
rnacentral:rRNA from 1 species